AUGUGUGUACCAAAGGAGAGAGGUGGUAUGGGCUUCAGAGAUUUACACUGGUUUAAUUUGGAUCUCCUUGCAAAACAAUGUUAGAGGCUUCUGUGUGAACCAAACUCUCUUUGUGGCACAAUCUUGAGAGCAAAAGAAAUUCCUGGCGGUGAUCUACUUAAUUGCGGUCUUAAGAAGGGUAGCUCUUACACUUGGCAAAGUCUUUGGUAUGGCAUUCAAAGUUUCAAGAGAGGGAAUAUAUGGUGA
rnacentral:rRNA from 1 species